GAUAUCAUCGGGUUCUUUGAGGGUAUGUUAAUUUUCUGGUCCCUUAAUAACCUGGCUCUGAUACCA
rnacentral:pre_miRNA from 1 species